UGCAAUCAUCGAUCGGCUUGACAUAACCUAUGCCGACCAACGACCACUCUAUGUCCUGGAAGAUGAAAUGAGAAGGUUACAACAAGGAAAUUUAUCACUACAUGAAUACUACGAUCAAGUGAAUCAAGCGUUAAACCUGAUCCUGUCAAAGUUAGAAAUGACGUAUAAAAACGAAGCAGUCCUAGCAUCACAUAAUAAAGAAGCACAAUUAAAAGCCACGAGAACAUACAUCUCCGGCAUUAGAAGUUCCUCGAUCAAAAACGCAUUAUACUCCAGAUACUGUGCAUCACUCACAGAAGCUCACGAUAUAGCCAGAACUAUGCAACAUGAUGUCGGCUAUCAACACCUAGAAUACAUACCCAGGAUGCGACCACAUCCGCAACACAAUUAUACAGUAAUCAACAGGAACACAUUUCCUCAAAGGAUCCAACAACCCAGAGUAGAACCUAUGGAAACAGAUUCCUCAACACGAUUCCGACGACCUACACAUCAAAGAAACUUACAACUACCAAACAACCCACCAGUCCAACCAAGACAAGCAAUCCAAACAGUUGGCAACCAAUUCAAAAGGUAUAGAGACGAAACAGUCACUAACGCCCACAACAAAGCACAGCGAGUGAACCAACUCAACAAUGAAAGAAGCGAAAUCCAGUCACUCUACAACGAACCAAACAGCAACUACACUGAAGAAGAACAUUUUUUAUAAGAUACCACGGUCUACCAACACUCAAGAGAACCGCACCAGAUGUUAUAUUAUGCAGUACUUAGAUAUAAAACAUUGAAAACACAACGAAUUACACAAAAACGUUACGAGGAAAUACUACGAAAACAAGGAAUGGAAUACCUAACCAAGAAGAACACCACUACAACCGUAUAAAAAGGCAGGAGCCUUUACUCUUUUUUAAAGGAGGGGAGAGUUAAGGAACAUGUGUUACUUAAUCACAUUUUUGUAUCGAAAACAUAAAUUAUCAACUGGUAACCUAAACAAACAAUAACAAUAGUCUCGCCUAGCAUCAUAAAUGUAACAAACAAAAUGAAUGUGCGAAAAUGUAAACUGCACCAAACUAUCUCAUUAGCAAGUAAGCAAAUAUUGUAAAUGCACUAUCAAUACAACAGACAAUGUAUAUGUGUACAAACCUAAACAAAUAAUAUAAUCUGUAUCUACAGAAACUAUCAACUAGUAAUAAGUAAACAUUCUAGUUAGUAUAAAUAGAAGCAUAACCAUACACGCUUCGUCUUUUGUAUUUUGAAGAUUACGAAAUAAAGAACGUUCUGCUGUCAAGGCAGAACUAAAAUAAUUUCUUUGACUAAAAUAACCCAAGUGUUAUUAAUUAGCGCGCAAACUGAAAACACAUGCGCAAGCGACUGGUGGAGGCCCUCCGAUAAGUGGAAUGACUCCAUUCGAGGAGCAAGACAUAACAACAUUUGGGGCAGCAGCGGUAGAUGGAUUGCCGGGUGUUGCGACUUUGGGUCAUCAGGUUUUGCCGUUGUAUAUAAAUACACUUGAAGCUCCAGCUUCCUCGCCAACACCAACAGUCGCAUCGCCUGCUCCAUCACCCUCACUAGCAGUCGCAUCGCCUGUUCCAGCAUCUUCACUAGCAGUCGCAUCGCCUGUUCCAGCAUCUUCACUAGCAGUCAGAUCGCCUGCUCCAGCUUUUCCUGCUUUAUCAAACAAUUUUUCUUCCUCGCCAUCACCUCAUUUUUCUUCUUCACCAUCACCUCCAUCUUCUUCCUUAUCUCCUCCCAUAUUAUCUUCUUCUAUGCCGUCGCCUUCUUAUAUCCCUCCCGAAAAAUUGACUGCAGCGAAGAUGCUUGGAACAGUGCUGAAAAAAAUGGAGGACAGAGAAAAGCGAGAGGAGGAAGCCAUUGCUCUACAAAGGCAAAUUGUAGAGCAAAAUGCGCAGAUGACAGGGGUGCUGACUCAAAUGACACAGGCACUAACCUCGCUGUCAGAGGUUAUGGCUAAGUUGUCCCAAAAAUUGGAUAAAUAAUAAUAAAAAUGUAAAAAAUGAAAUAGAAAUGUAAAAAAUUAAAUGAAAAUGUAAAAAAUGAAAUAAAAAUGUAUAAAAUGAAAUAGAAAUGUAAAAAAUGAAAUAGAAAUGUAAAAAAUGAAAUAGAAAUGUAAAAAAUGAAAUAGAAAUGUAAAAAAUGAAAUAGAAAUGUAAAAAAUGAAAUAAAAAUGAAAAAAAA